UGCAGUCGAACGAUGAAGCCGCUUCGGUGGUGGAUUAGUGGCGAACGGGUGAGUAACACGUGGGCAAUCUGCCCUUCACUCUGGGACAAGCCCUGGAAACGGGGUCUAAUACCGGAUAUGACGCACGGCCGCAUGGUCUGUGUGUGGAAAGCUCCGGCGGUGAAGGAUGAGCCCGCGGCCUAUCAGCUUGUUGGUGGGGUGAUGGCCUACCAAGGCGACGACGGGUAGCCGGCCUGAGAGGGCGACCGGCCACACUGGGACUGAGACACGGCCCAGACUCCUACGGGAGGCAGCAGUGGGGAAUAUUGCACAAUGGGCGCAAGCCUGAUGCAGCGACGCCGCGUGAGGGAUGACGGCCUUCGGGUUGUAAACCUCUUUCAGCAGGGAAGAAGCGCAAGUGACGGUACCUGCAGAAGAAGCGCCGGCUAACUACGUGCCAGCAGCCGCGGUAAUACGUAGGGCGCAAGCGUUGUCCGGAAUUAUUGGGCGUAAAGAGCUCGUAGGCGGCUUGUCGCGUCGGAUGUGAAAGCCCGGGGCUUAACCCCGGGUCUGCAUUCGAUACGGGCAGGCUAGAGUUCGGUAGGGGAGAUCGGAAUUCCUGGUGUAGCGGUGAAAUGCGCAGAUAUCAGGAGGAACACCGGUGGCGAAGGCGGAUCUCUGGGCCGAUACUGACGCUGAGGAGCGAAAGCGUGGGGAGCGAACAGGAUUAGAUACCCUGGUAGUCCACGCCGUAAACGUUGGG
rnacentral:rRNA from 1 species